GAUUGUUGUAGCGUUAUUUGUCUCUGUCAAAGACUGGUUAAGAUAGCGGCAGUUUUGUGUAUCAACUGCCGCAAAUAACAUGUUGCUCAAUUUGAUUUAAUAAUCGAAAUUUGGUGAUGCCAGGGCAAUUAAUCCUCGUUUUUGCGCGAACCUAAAAGGGGGCAAAGGCGCCAAUCACCAGUUUCAAGACUCCUUGCUGCCGUAUACCUUCCCUCCAUCAGCUGCAGCCGCUACAUCCUUCCUCAUCACGGAUCUACUUAAGCUGCCGCAUAGCUCCCGCACGCGAAAGGAAGGUGGAGAGGCACGUCCGUUGUUCGUCCCUCUACUGUGCACGUCCCGGUGUCGUCGCGUGGCUUCCCAAUCGUCCUGGUGUCAUCGUCCUCAACCUUCCCCCCAUGCCAUGUUGUGUGCCGCGUGAACGCACCUUCUCCCCGCUUACUGGUUCACUUUUUCUCCCUUUUUCUGUUGUUCCAAUUUCAUAUUUUGUCUUUGUACUUUUGUUUCACUUUAAUCAUUUUGCUUGUUGAUCGAAUAUCUUUGCACCGAUUUAGUUUAAUUUUGCUUGUUUCCAAUUUGUUUGCUAUUUUGGUUCGAACCCUUGUGAUCAUCUGAUGGAAACUCAAUGGCCUUUCCUUCAUGUUUUUUAGCUCAAUUCCUAUGUGAUUGUCAUUCCUAUUGUUGAAAGAAGUUUCAGGUCUGCACUCCACCCUGGCUCUGAUUUCCACAUCAUGAUUUGUGCAGAGAGUGGCUCCAUACAAGUGAAAGCUUCGAGUUUUAAUUUAAUUGCUUAUGUUCAUUUGUCUGGGAAUCCAUACAACUUAUUUAGAGAGGCUUAUAGUGCUCUGAGAGUUAAUCUCAACACCUUUAAGCUCUUGGAAGAGAAGAAUAUCCCUAGCAUUAUUGACAAGUUUGGUUGGUGCACUUGGGAUGCAUUCUACUUAUUCGUGGAGCCUGUUGGAGUUUUUCAUGGCUUGAAGGAUUUCGCUGAGAUUGGUGGUGUGUCUCCAAGGUUUGUGAUCAUUGAUGAUGGAUGGAAAAGCAUCAAUUAUGAUGAUGGUGAUGACCCAUAUGAAGAUGCCAAAAUCUUAUAUUGGGUGGACCACAAAUGACAGCAAGGCUUCACAGAUUUGAAGAAUGUGACAAGUUCAAGAGUUACAAAGGAGGACUUAUCUUAGGUCCUAAUGCUCCUCCUUUUGAUCCAAACAAGGCCAAGGCAUUGAUAUCAAAGGGGAUUGAACUUGAAUGUUUGGUGAAGGAUCGAGACAAAGCAGUUGAAUCCAGAAGCUCUGAUUUGGCAGAGAUUGAAGCAAGGAUUGGAGAAAAGGCAGAGGAGUGUGGAUUGAAGGCUUUUACAAGGGAUUUGAGGACACAGUUUAAAGGGUUGGAUGAUAUAUAUGUAUGCCAAUGACUUUUAUGAAUAUAUGCACUCUUAUCUUGCAAAAUCUGGUGAUUUUUAAGGGAUGAUUUUUGGUUCCGAGAUCCAUAUGGUGACCCCAUGGGAGUGUUUUGGCUACAAGGGAUACACAUGAUUCAUUGCUCAUACACCGGCUUGUGUUCUCUGAUGGCACUGUCCCUAGAUGCAGCAAAAAAAAAUCCCAUAAGUUUGAAAAGCACACUCAUCAUUCUUAGGAGGUGUAUCAUAUACUAAAACACAUAUAAAUUACGAUUUUUGAUGAAAACGAGAGGUAAAUAUAUUUUUUUCGUGUUUUCCUGACCCUGAUUAAACCAUGUUUAGCUCCAGAGUCCAUGCAAACACUUCCCACUUCCAACAAGAGAUUGUCUCUUCAAUAACCCUCUAUUUGACCACAAAACUCUCCUCAAAAUUUGGAAUUUAAAUAAGAACUCACCGCCACUACCAUAAUCCUUAUUACUCUCACCACUAAACCAUUCAUAGUUCAACCCCUCUAUCCGUUGCUGUUGGCCCUAGUCUUCUUCUCCACGUUGUACUCAGAGCGGUGGCGUUGUAGUACCCGUCGUCGUCCUUAAGCCGGUAUCCGUUGUCGUCGUCGUUGGCCGCAAGAAGACGUCUCUGUCCCCGCGGCGAGCCCUUGUCUUCGAGCCCUUCUCUCUCUAUCUGAGGCCCCGUCCUUCCUCUCUCACCGUCAAUACCAUUUCUUCCGCUGCCGGUAGCCCGUAUAUUAAGAUGCCCAUGAUAAGUUGUUGCACUACAAGAAAAAAGGCCUGUCGGCACACUUUUUUUCUUUUCACGCUUUUAAAGCGUGCCCAAAAGUGGUCUAUGGCCACGCUUUUGCGAGGAUGGCCACUGAUUUGUAAUUUAGCCAUACUUUUUUGCCACACUUGAAAAGCGUGGCCAUAGAAAAAAAUCAACACGCUUUUACGAGGGUGCCCACUUACUUGAAAUUUGGCGAUAGAGGGAAAUCGGCACGCUUUUAUGAAAAUAUCCAAGUUGGACACAGCAUGUCAGCAACCUCAAGUAAGAUCUACUACGGCUUCAUCCUCCAAUCAAGGGGACUUCCCAAUUCCCCCGUCCAGUGGUGGUGGUGCCCUCGCAGCCUCAUCUUUACGCCUCUUUCAUCCGCCUCAUAGCGAACCAUUGCUUGCUCCACAGACUUGUAUGAAUGGUGUUCAAAACUCAUAGCUGGGCGAUGAAAACUUAGACCCAGAGGCAGGUGAGAAUCCAAUGGAACAAUCAAACAACUUCGUUUGAAUGUGAAGGAAGCUAUGAACCACCUAACGGUAGAAAGAUCGUACUCAGGUUCAACUGAAACCUGCAACAAGUUAGAGAUGAAGUUAGUAUACUGAGCGACGUUUUCGGAUUGCUAAGAUCUGACUACACCAAAUUUUCAAUCUGCGAUGUCUAAUUCAAAGGCACGGCGGGGAGCUUCCACCAAACGUCACUGCAUAGAUGAAUUCAUUGGAGGGACAGAGUGGAAAGUAGAUCUUAGGAUUGGAAAUUGAUUUUUUUAAAUAUACAUUUUUUUGUUGACUAUGCAACUCUUAGUAAUGAAUAUACUUUAUUGAUAUUUGGAUAAAUAUAUGAAUUUGCUUUA